rnacentral:rRNA from 1 species
GACGAACGCUGGCGGCGUGCUUAACACAUGCAAGUCGAACGGAAAGGCCCUGCUUUUGUGGGGUGCUCGAGUGGCGAACGGGUGAGUAACACGUGAGUAACCUGCCCUUGACUUUGGGAUAACUUCAGGAAACUGGGGCUAAUACCGUAUAGGAGCUCCUGCUGCAUGGUGGGGGUUGGAAAGUUUCGGCGGUUGGGGAUGGACUCGCGGCUUAUCAGCUUGUUGGUGGGGUAGUGGCUUACCAAGGCUUUGACGGGUAGCCGGCCUGAGAGGGUGACCGGCCACAUUGGGACUGAGAUACGGCCCAGACUCCUACGGGAGGCAGCAGUGGGGAAUAUUGCACAAUGGGCGGAAGCCUGAUGCAGAAACGCCGCGUGCGGGAUGACGGCCUUCGGGUUGUAAACAGCUUUCGCCUGUGACGAAGCGUGAGUGACGGUAAUGGGUAAAGAAGCACCGGCUAACUACGUG